CCUACGGGGGGGCAGCAGUGGGGAAUAUUGGACAAUGGGCGAAAGCCUGAUCCAGCCAUGCCGCGUGUGUGAAGAAGGCCUUCGGGUUGUAAAGCACUUUCAGUGGGGAAGAAAGCCUUGGGGCUAAUACCCUCGAGGAAGGACAUCACCCACAGAAGAAGCACCGGCUAACUCCGUGCCAGCAGCCGCGGUAAUACGGAGGGUGCGAGCGUUAAUCGGAAUUACUGGGCGUAAAGCGCGCGUAGGCGGUCUGAUAAGCCGGUUGUGAAAGCCCCGGGCUCAACCUGGGAACGGCAUCCGGAACUGUCAGGCUAGAGUGCAGGAGAGGAAGGUAGAAUUCCCGGUGUAGCGGUGAAAUGCGUAGAGAUCGGGAGGAAUACCAGUGGCGAAGGCGGCCUUCUGGACUGACACUGACGCUGAGGUGCGAAAGCGUGGGUAGCAAACAGGAUUAGAUACCCCAGUAGUC
rnacentral:rRNA from 1 species